GACAGAGGGUGCAAACGUUUGUUCGGAAUUACUGGGCGUAAAGCGAGUGUAGGCGGUCUCCUAAGUCGGGUGUGAAAGCCCCGGGCUCAACCCGGGAAGUGCACUCGAUACUGCCAAGCUAGAGUAUCGGAGAGGUUGGUGGAAUUCUCGGUGUAGAGGUGAAAUUCGUAGAUAUCGAGAGGAACACCGGUGGCGAAGGCGGCCAACUGGACGAAUACUGACGCUGAGACUCGAAAGCGUGGGGGAGCAAACAGG
rnacentral:rRNA from 1 species